rnacentral:hammerhead_ribozyme from 1 species
AUCCAGAUGACGAGUCCCAAAUAGGACGCAGUGCGCAUCCUGGAU